UUUUUUUUUUUUUUUUUUUGGGGGGGGGUGGGGGGCAGAAUCAGUUUCAAAUAAUCAGUUUGACAGAAGCAUCAUAAAUAAGCCAAGGGGGGUCAUCCUGAAUCCCAGAGCCAAAUUUCAUACCACAUUUAAAAACACAUUCGAUGGGUUAAUUUCUCUAAAUGCCAUGCCUUAGCUUUGACUUUUAGCAUUUCAUGAGAUUGUCCCACCUUUUCUAGUCACUACAAGCAGGUUACGAGGUUGUAGAACCGGCAAGCACAUUCAAUAGCAGACUCUUUUUGUUGGCUCAGCGACACAUGCACUAUACCCGUUCAUGUGAGCUUCCCUUCUUCUUGUGUAAAAGUGUUCAUGUAUGAGAGACUUGCUCCAUAUCUAAAGUGACUUUUGAUAACGUCUUCACUGUUGCAUUAUAUAAAUAAUAUUGAUUUUAAUUGCAUUUGAUCACAUGGUUUGGCAAACCCUAAAGGUUACUAUAAAUCAAUAUUGCAUGCUUAAUCAACUUCAUGCUGAAAAUAAAUAAUGAAUAUAAAUAAUAUAUUUGAAAAUAUAACAUUGGAAAUUACAUUUUAAUGUAUGUUAACUGAAAUCCGGUACACACUGUACAGUAGUGUAAUAAAGGGAUGAAUCAGUGUAGGGCACAGGAAGGCCAGACAGGGGAACAUGACAAUAGAAAUGUAACUUGCGAUAGCAAAAAUGAACUGACAUAGCAGGGACCUAAGUAUAAAUAAAUUGAUAAGACAAAGAGGGACACCUCAAAAGACACCUGCGUCCAUAGGGACCUGUUUAGUUGGCACAAGGAACAGCGCUGACAAGGACAGGCGGGGAAAGAAAGAAAUUUAGAAUGAGACCUUUUUCUUUUGUUCUUGUCUUUGUUCACUGCUGUUGCUAUUUCAAUAUUGUAGAAAUGGUCAUCUCCAAUCAUAAGUCCAGGACAGUGAAUGCAACAUGUAUUAAAACAAAAAGUGCAGUAAGAAACCACUACAGUUGACUUUUUGUGCAUUAUUUAUUAAGAGGAACGAAAAUUGUCACACCGAGUUAUUGUAAUAUCGGUAAUAUUUUGUGAAGAUUACAUUUUGUGGCAAAAAAAUAAACAACAAAAGUAUCCUAAUUGUUGUCCACUAAUAGCCACAAUGACACUAUAGCGGAGAAAUGUGCAUAGUUUGACUCUGAGAGGGCGGGACUCAUGUUUGGAGAGCGCAAUGAACUAGGCGCGGCUAAAACGAGCCCCAUCCAUCUAUCACACGUGUAGACAAAGGGGGGACUCCACAACACAAAGCAGCAUGUGUCCUAACAAACUUUAUUUUUUUUCCACCCCGCACGGACGCACAGCCACACGCACGGAGAAAAGCACCUUCAGCUGGAACCUAAAACUCAGACAACUAAAUGUUCUUCAAAUUUUUGGGAAGCAGAUGGAGAAACUCCAAAGUCAUCUAUGAGGAAGCUUUGAGGAUUAAGACACAGCAUACUUUUAUUUUUGGAGAAGAUGAGGACUCGGGAUUUAAACUCCUGGAGCAGCUUUGCCUUGAGGGAUGUGUUCAAGGCAUACUUGGAAAUGUAAAAACCUGGAUAUACUCUGGAGAUUAAAUGUUCAGCGGAUUGCAGAUUAUUGAAUUUUGAGCCUAUGUGGUAAAGUGGAAAAAAGCAGCUUCCAAGCUAUGAGUCCACAUAUCAACAUUGUGUAGCAGUGACAGCUCUGAAGAUGGGACUGUAGGAGUGAUGAGGUCCGGGGGAUCACAACCUUAAUUUUCUCCAAGACAGACGCUUAAUUAACACUGAAGGAAACCUGGCUGGCUCCAGACCGACAACUGGAAUGUUCAAGGGAAUUAAGGUGCCAACCCCAUCAUAUACUUCACAAUAUGCCCUUCAAAUCCCCAUUCUCUCAUGGCUCUGAAUUUUGUGCAUUCACUUCUCCGGUUUCCUUUUCUGCAAUUCACAUUGUGAGAAGACCACCUCACAGGGAUUUUCCCCUUCACCAGGUGCCUUUCCUGUCUUCGUCUGUUUGACGGAGUCAGUAGCACCACAGCAGGAUGUGAAAUAGUGCUGGAGGCAGGGUGCCAGGCACAAGCAGCUGGGAAGGCUUCCCUCUCUUUUCCUGUCAUCAAUAAAUGAUCAUAGGCCAUGUGGAGGGAGGGAACCAUCAACCAGCAAGACCCGGAAAACAACUACUGAUGCGUCUAAGAAAGAGCGAUAUCGUGAGAAAAAAGUAAAGACAGAGCAGAAGCGGGAAUCUAAAAUAACAUGACCGUAGAAAUUGGUUGAUAAAUAAAGACAAUAUGGGGCAUAUAUAGAAUGACAUAUGUUGCUCAGUCAUCACAAAACUAACAGAAAAUGCAGUAUUCAUUGGCCCAACAAUAACUUCGGGCCUGAAUACAAAUUUACAAUGCCUAAAAUGUAAACUAAAUAUGACACGUCAAAGCUACAAGAAUUUUUGUUAUAUGAUUUCUGAUAUGAUGACAACUCUAACAUCUUUUACAUAGUCACAGCACGAUGUUUAAUGAUUGAUUUAUUUAAAUGUAAGGAACCAACGGGUUAAAUUCAAAGGGUUUUGUCUGUCUUCACACACAGUAUGCAUGCACACAUAUAUGGGAAUGAUGAAUAGUUCAUUCCUCUGCCUUAAGACUGGUCAAUACAAAGACAGCCAUCUAUCCGUUGGGUAAGAGCGGCAUAUAAUUGAAUCCUCUGUGGCUACUUAACCUGUCAUUGCUGCUGUGCACCAUGUGGGAGGAAUAGUUUCACCUUGUACUCACAUAUGGGUUCCUGUCACAGAGAGUCUGACUUGUAAAAUGUCUGAUCCAGCAGUUCACCCAGAGGAGCAUCAGAGGCUCAAGUCUUACAAAGGAUGUUCAGGGCAAUUCAAUUCUCUGAAUAAGAUUUUUGAAAUAAUUUAACUUAACAUUACAGAUUCCACACAAGCUGGCCUCCAGGUUAGGUUUUUAAUUGAGUGCAUUAUAAGACGAUUGGCAAUGGUAAAACGACACCCUUAAAAAUCCUGGGUUAAAAACAACUUCAUUGGGGUUAAAAAAAAAUUGACUGUUUUGUACAAAACAACCCAUUGUACACACAAUCCAAUAAAAUGUUUUUAUUUGGCCAAACAACCAAAAGUUUGGGCAAAUUAACCCAACUUCCCAUGUAGGUCCAAUUUUUAACUCGGCAGUUUCAACAGGAAGAAUCGAAUACAAAAUCUUUCAGUAAAAGGUAAAACAUACCUUUGAUUGUGAUUAUGUUAUCUCACCAUCUUAUGCAUUUCUUAGUGCCUUGUCAUCCAUCACAUUGAAGCAUGUUUUAUUACAUUUCUUCAAUUUUUUGUAGCUCUAAUUCCAUCAUGCCUUGCAGCUCUCUCAAAAACAUACUUUACCUAAUAAUAAUAAUAAUAAUAAUCUCCAUCUCUUAUGAAUCCCCCAUGAAAUCUGCUCUCAGAUCUGCCUUCCAUUUAAUCUUUUCUUCCCAAUUUAGGCCUUCACUGUCUGACUCUGUAUCUGAGAGCCUCACCCACUCGUUCCUUACUUUCUGCCUGAACAAUUGCAAUGGACUCUUGUUCAGGCUUCCUGGCAGUUCACUUGACAGACUGCAAUGUGCAGAACUCAGUUGCCAGGGUUCACAGUCUGACCAAACCUUGGCAGCAGCAAUAUACACACACAUGCACACACACUAAACACAUGCACACACACUAAACACAGACACCACACACACACACACACACACGCGCAGACACACACACAAACACACAACUCCCUCCCAAACACUGGCUUCCAGUCAAAUUCUGGUUGAUCUAUAAGCUAAUGCUCCUUGCCAACAAAGCUCAACAACUCAACAACUGCUAUAUGAUUUGUAGAUAACAAUCAUUCAAGAUAGGUCAAAUUGCUGAAUGCAUCUUCCACUUUCAUUAGAUUUUGCAGAAUGCUUAAUGGUGCACGCAGAGUACCCCCCCCCCCCCCCCCCCACACACACACAAUCACCACAAACCUUCCAUUCUUCCAAUUUAUUUUUCCAUUUUUUAUAUGCCAUGUUAAAUGGAAUUAUGAUCAAAGACUUUGUGGCUGCAUAUUGUGUCGUAACAUUAGUUACACAUCAGCGAGUUGCAUUUUGAUGUGUCUAAUGCGUAGCACUUAACAGUAAGGCAGACUGUUGGAUAGUGAGCGAAAUGAGAACAAAUGUGAGGCAGUGGGUGUGGGGGCCAAGAUGGUGAAAAUAAGAACCAUGGCAAAGAGAGAAAACAAUGCACUCUGGUGCCAAGACUGCAUAUCACCGCCUCACCCUACCGCUCUCUCUUUCUCUUGUCUUGCAUUCUUCCUUCCUCUUGGUCUCCCUUGAAGCAUCUCACUAAGCACCUCAGCUACCGCCAAGGGAAUUGAGGAUGCGUGUGGAAUAGCAGAAGAAGGGAAAAUGAGAGAAUGACAUGAAGAGAAAGGAAAACUAGGUUGAAUAAUGUAGUAAUGUACGUAGUAGCGCUUGUCUCAUCUUUGUGUGGAUGCUUCUGAAACAUCCAUCCAUCCAUCCAUCCAUCCAUCAAAAAAAGAUCCAUAACUUGAUGAAUUUAGUGAGCAAUAAAAUGAGAGCUAACCCUGACCUUAACACCUUCCAUUGUGAGCUACAAGGCAUUCUCUGAGGUAUAGUUUUACCUGACCUUAUUAGUGUUCCUCAGGAUAAAUAAAUACAUACAUACACAAAGUAAAUCCUACAGAGACACAAGUGCAAGCUGUUAUAGUAAAGAAAAAAAAAAUCAAUGUCAUAUUUUCAUUAAUUCAAACGCCUUGUGGAUGUGUUGUUUGGAUUUCACACACUUAUGCUGUAGACAGAAUUCACACUUUGAUUUAAAAACAAUCAUAGUGUAAUAACGAUAAUGACCAGAUUUGCUAUUGCAGGAGUUGGACUUGUAGUCAUAUCAACUGAUGACGAUGAAUCAAGUUUUGUUGUCAUAAUAUUAAGGGGGACAAUAUGGAAGUCAAUAGUGUUUGUGUUACUGUAAAAAUGAAAUCUUCUGCAGCUCUCAUUAGACGGCACAGAUGUAUCUAAUACUAUACAGUUGUGUGUGUGUAAUGCAUAAUGUACAUUUAAAUAGAGUAAUAAAGUUACUUCAUCAAAGCCCAAAACAUCAGCGAGCCGUAUAUAUACACUAUUUCACCCCUGCUUAACACUGCAGGUACUGUCUAACCCCAUGAGGUUUAACAUUUGCCUCCUGUGAACUCAUUAGUGUGCAAACAAAGGUCUAUUUGUUGUGUGUGACUUCGCCCUGUGCCCCGCUGAGUGAUGGGUGGGAUGUAUUUGUUAGAUGAAGAUAAUGGGUGUGUAUCUUUUUCUAUCUGAUGUUUUGGGUGUGCAUAUGGGGUUGUGUGCGUGUGUCUUAUCUAGUGCUUUUAACCAUACAGAGAGCAUGACCCUCCACAGGACCGCUCCGCUAUCUCUCUUCAAUAGAGGGUAUGAGGUCUUGGCCCGAGAGAGAUAAUUGGGAGGUAUAACACAGAAAGCAAAUAAAUGCCAAUCAAUCAAUCAAUCAAUCAAUAGCAAUCGUAGUUUACACAUACAGCCAUUAAACAAAGCUUGGCAACAAAUACAAUCCAAUUCAGACAUACAUAGAACCAUGCAAAAAUAAAACGUUAAAACAUUUGUGGCAUUCUUGCCUCAGUUACACAAUCGUUUGAUGAAAUGUGACGAUGAUGAUGAUUAUUAUUAUUGUAUUGAGAAAAAGCAAAAACCACCACAAGUCAGGCAGAAGCAGAGGUGACCGUACUAAACUUAAGUGACAUAACUACAGUACAUAUGGGAUUUAAGCAACUGCCCAAAGAGAGGAGAGGUUAAAGGUCACUUGGCAGGGAAAAUAAUUGCUCCAGAAAUGGACAGCCACGCCUGGCAACAUGUAUCCACGUGGAAGUGCGACAGACAGACAGACAAACUAGGCAGUUUGUCAGUCCAGAGAGGCCAGUGCAGCACUGACCAGGCAUGAUAGGAUGUUGACAACACAUUGCUCACAAUGGCGUACAAUGUGUAAGAUGUGCUGUGGGAUAGAAACUACAGUGACUAGGACUUAUGGCCAAUCAUUCAAAAGGACCUGCACAUUAACUGUAAGCUUCUAAUGGACCAAAAGGCAUAACUGCAUUUCUUAUAUCCUGCAAAAUUCAUGGAUGGUUGUAUAAAAAAGUUACAUUUAAAAUUUUUGAAAAAUGUGUUUUAAAAAUAAUAAAAAUGUCACAGAUGACUUCCAAAAUACACAAAUUCAAAACACUCCCAUGACUAAGCUUCCUCAGGCACACUGUUUGUAUGAUUCAUUCUUGCAUACGUAAGCAUAGAGUAACUGUGACCAACAAAAAAGCCCCGGAUUUGUGUCAUGUGUUUGUAGCAACCCUGCCCCUACCAAUAGGCCUUACUUACAUGCCUGGGCAUUUGCUGCUAGCCCACUCUUGAUGUACAAUCAGUUAGAAAAAGUAUAUGUGUUAGCAAAGUGUAUGUGUGCUGCUGGUCCCACAGGACACGACUGAGACCAAAUUACCUGUCACUGGUUGACAUCACCUACCCCCAAGCACCACACACAAAGGACAACUGAGAGGCUACUGUGAACUAUCAGCUCAACGAGCUCUUUCUCUCUCUUCCUUGAGAUUUAGCAGGUGUUGAGGUGCCUGGCUGACUCCCUUCAUUGAAACUAUUAUCAGAAUCAGUACCCCCUUGUAACAUGCACCUUAAAAUAAUGUGUGCAAAUAUCAGCAAUAUGCACACGCUACCAUAAAAGGAUUUUUCACACCUCCACCACACUCUUGCUCCACCCCUCACUAAUAUUUGAAAACGACACUCAAAGAGGGCGUUCGCUGGAGGACCAUUGGGCUUACGAGAGGGCAGGGGGUCAGGCUAAAACUAGGACUUAUAUAAUUUAUAAACAAUGACAAGCUAUAUGUGUGGUUGAUUGGUUGGCAACUAGUUCCCGAUGUCCCCUGCCUACUGUCUGUACUUAGUUGGGAAAGAGCGGACUAAGAUGGACGAAAAUGCUUGUAUACCUUACAGUGGAGGAGCCACAUAGAUUGUUCAGAUUCUGGAAGUGACGUCAGGAUUCGCUGCUCAUCUAAUCAGAUGACAGAAAACCAAAUUCACAUGCAGUGCGGCGUUCAACCUAUAGAUGAUGCCCUACGGACCAUUUCCAACCCCUAAAUUAAAAAAUGUUACCUGGGCUCAGGGUAGUAUAGCCCCGUCAGAAAUCUGGUUAGCCCUGGUAAAUUGGUGAAUUCUCUCCAGCAUUGUAUUUUACGUUUUACACAAUACAGACCACAGUCUCACAAUAGGAAAAAUGGUUUAUGGUAAAAUCAACCAAAAAAGGGCAUUUGUAACAAAAGGCAGCAAACAGCACACGCGUGCGUACUUUUUACACCGGAUUCUCAGCAACCAUUGGGUUGAUUAUGUUGUGUAAUUAUAAUAUAAAUAAUAACCUUUCUUUGAAAGAAAAAAAAAAAAACUUGGCAACACUCCUGUCUCUUUUUUCUCACUGUGUCUCAGCCAGAUUGUUUAGCAACAAAUGCUUACAGUCUUUAAGAACAGAAGAAGUCUUUAAGAACAUGAAAUGAAACAUUUUGCAUUUUUGCAAAGUGGGUGCAGGUCAUGUAAGACUUUAAAUUUGAUUAAGGCAAUAUUAUAAUUGAACUAUCAUCGCAGGAUAUAUUUUUCUUUUACAUGUACAUAUACAUAACUGAUAAAAAAAAGAUAAAAGAGUGUAACCUCCCAAAAAAUUAUAAAAAUCCAGUGGCACCCCUGUGCUUUGGGCCAUGGUGCGUCAUUCCAAUUUUUUACCCCAACUU